rnacentral:rRNA from 1 species
UCCAGACUCCUACGGGAGGCAGCAGUGGGGGAUAUUGGACAAUGGGGGAAACCCUGAUCCAGCGAUGCCGCGUGAGGGAAGAGGGUUUUCGGAUUGUAAACCUCUGUGGACAGGGACGAUAAUGACGGUACCUGUCAAGAAAGCCACGGCUAACUACGUGCCAGCAGCCGCGGUAAUACGUAGGUGGCGAGCGUUGUCCGGAAUUACUGGGUGUAAAGGGAGCGUAGACGGUGAUGCAAGUCUGGAGUGAAAGGCGGGGGCCCAACCCCCGGACUGCUCUGGAAACUGUGUAACUUGAGUGCAGGAGAGGUAAGCGGAAUUCCUAGUGUAGCGGUGAAAUGCAUAGAUAUUAGGAGGAACACCAGUGGCGAAGGCGGCUUACUGGACUGUAACUGACGUUGAGGCUCGAAAGCGUGGGGAGCAAACAGGAUUAGAUACCCCCGUAA